UAUUUAUUUACAUAAAUGUUGUUGUGUACACUAUUUAAAUAUUAAGUAAUAUUAUUAUAUGUUGAAAUUCAUUUAAUAUUACUUCAUUCAUUCGUUAAUUUGUAACUAAUUAACUCAUUUAUUCAUUCAUUGGCAAGGACAAAUAACCUUUCUACCAUUUUCUCAGUUUGACAAUUUCAAGCGUGUCUCAAGUGGAGGAAGAGCUAAAAGGCCCCCUGGUGGAGAACAUUAGCAUCACUUUCUCCUGUCUGAUGUUCUGGCAAGACAACGUGUUGGGAGACAUGGAUGUUGAUCUAUAAAAAGAGUUUCUGCAUGACUUGAAAGGCUUGAAAGUUUUGGUUAAUGAUAAAGACAUGCUGGACCAACACAAAAGGCAUGUUAAUAAUUUGUUCAGAUGCUCAUUAUUUCUAAUACUGAUGACAUGCUAUGUCUAACAUAUCUGUCCUUUCUACAAACACUAUAGCUUGGUAUGUGCACAGCUUAGAGGAACAUUUAACGUCUUUAGUGAGAUGGAGGCCAAUUUUAAGGUGUGGGUCAACAGCAGGGGAGUACUAUUG
rnacentral:lncRNA from 1 species